UGCUUUGUUACUAUUCGUGUCUGCUGGGUUCAGCUCUGCUCGAACAGAAACAGAGAGAAUCGUGUGCUGGGUUAAAUAAUAUUAACCGGUUCCUAUAAAAUUGGUGACCCCGACUGAGAAUUGUGCCUAUCUGAGAGGAGUCAGAUUCGCUGCUGUUGUGCCAACGGAGAUCAACAACAUCUACGGAGGAACAAAAGUUAAUGCGGACGCUAAAGAACGAACAAAGAACGAGAUGACAAUGCAUUAAAGAUAAACAACAGUUGAACAAUGGUAGACGGCUAUGGAACGACAAAACGAUGAAUCUUGACGAUGGCUAACGGACAAACGAAACGAACUUUUAAAAAAUUAUGAGGUGAAAAAUCAACGAAAAAUAAUCAAAAUGAUGAAAUAAUCAAUCAACUACAGACGAAGGGACUUUUCAAAGAAAUACGGUACAUAAAACGCGCCCAAACAAAUUAUUUAACGCGACAAAUGACGAAAAGAAUGACAAACGUAACAAUAUGUUAUUUUCAUGCUCAUAAUUUUGUUUUAUUUUAUCAGUGCAGAUUUUUCAUCUUGUUGGGACACGCUUCAUACUUCUCCUAUUCUUAAGAUAAAAUUCUUCAAUUUCUCUCUGGCGUUUUAAAAUUCGGCUUCCAAUUUUUAUGAAUUCAUUGAAGGUAGGGUAAUUCGGAUGUUUAUUUAAGUGGCAUAAAAUCGUUAGGCCAAAUGAUUGUCCAACAUAAGUAAAUGUUUAAUUACGAAUGGUUUUCAUAAAAUUCAUAAAGAAUGUAAAUUUGACGGUCAUAAACAAUCCCAUCUUCGAUAGAAUAUGUUUCUAAAUCACUGGCAACCUUUUAAAAAGAUGAUUUAAAUAUAAUCAUACUUUAAUCUCGCCAAUAUAUUCGUCUAAUACGAAUAUAUUGAUCAAAUACAUAAACUAAGCGCAUUUUUUUCUCAACGCACACAGAAGGCUAAUUUUUUUUCAAAGCGCUUCAAACCCAACAAGGGAUAUCAAGGCUAGCUAAGCCAUUACUUGCGAGUUGUAAGGUUAAGGUGUGAUGAAAUAUGUUAAAUUGAAAUGAUUGUUUUGACUGUCAACAUCAAAUUUAAAACUAUAAUACGCCAACCUUUUCUAAAAGCUUCUUUCCACUUUUCUAAUUACCUGUUCUUCAUGCCUCUUCUCUGUCCCAUUAAAUUUUUCAAUUUCAGUAUAUAUAUUAAUGUGUAUCCGUAUGAUCAUGAAUAUUUUGUUUAUUACUUGAAGUAUUAAUGACAUUGAAAAAAAUAACUCAAUUUUAAAUCUAGCUAAUUCGGAAAUAAGUUGAAAAUUAUCAUAAAACUUUCCAUAUUAUUACAAAUCAAAUUAUUAUUUUAUCAGCCUGAUAACCUUAAUUUCACUCAAGUUAUUUUGUUAUAAUUUCAGUGUAAUCUUAAAAUCAUUAUUUUUUUCGUUAUUAUUUUGUAGAGAUCUGUACAAUUUUUGACACGUUUGU